AACGAACGCUGGCGGCAGGCUUAACACAUGCAAGUCGAACGCCCCGCAAGGGGAGUGGCAGACGGGUGAGUAACGCGUGGGAACGUGCCCUUCGCUUCGGAAUAUUCCCGGGAAACUGGGAGCAAUGCCGGAUACGCCGAAUUGGGAAAGAUUUAUCGGCGAAGGAUCGGCCCGCGUUAGAUUAGGUAGUUGGUGGGGUAAUGGCCUACCAAGCCUACGAUCUAUAGCUGGUCUGAGAGGAUGAUCAGCCACACUGGGACUGAGACACGGCCCAGACUCCUACGGGAGGCAGCAGUGGGGAAUCUUGGACAAUGGGCGCAAGCCUGAUCCAGCCAUGCCGCGUGAGUGAAGAAGGCCUUAGGGUUGUAAAACUCUUUCGCCGGUGAAGAUAAUGACGGUAGCCGGAGAAGAAGCCCCGGCUAACUUCGUGCCAGCCGCCGCAGUAACAC
rnacentral:rRNA from 1 species